ACGAACGCUGGCGGCGUGCCUAAUACAUGCAAGUAGAACGCUGAAGAGAGGAGCUUGCUCUUCUUGGAUGAGUUGCGAACGGGUGAGUAACGCGUAGGUAACCUGCCUUGUAGCGGGGGAUAACUAUUGGAAACGAUAGCUAAUACCGCAUAACAAUGGAUGACACAUGUCAUUUAUUUGAAAGGGGCAAUUGCUCCACUACAAGAUGGACCUGCGUUGUAUUAGCUAGUAGGUGAGGUAAUGGCUCACCUAGGCGACGAUACAUAGCCGACCUGAGAGGGUGAUCGGCCACACUGGGACUGAGACACGGCCCAGACUCCUACGGGAGGCAGCAGUAGGGAAUCUUCGGCAAUGGGGGCAACCCUGACCGAGCAACGCCGCGUGAGUGAAGAAGGUUUUCGGAUCGUAAAGCUCUGUUGUAAGUCAAGAACGGGUGUGAGAGUGGAAAGUUCACACUGUGACGGUAGCUUACCAGAAAGGGACGGCUAACUACGUGCCAGCAGCCGCGGUAAUACGUAGGUCCCGAGCGUUGUCCGGAUUUAUUGGGCGUAAAGCGAGCGCAGGCGGUUUGAUAAGUCUGAAGUUAAAGGCUGUGGCUCAACCAUAGUUCGCUUUGGAAACUGUCAAACUUGAGUGCAGAAGGGGAGAGUGGAAUUCCAUGUGUAGCGGUGAAAUGCGUAGAUAUAUGGAGGAACACCGGUGGCGAAAGCGGCUCUCUGGUCUGUAACUGACGCUGAGGCUCGAAAGCGUGGGGAGCGAACAGGAUUAGAUACCCUGGUAGUCCACGCCGUAAACGAUGAGUGCUAGGUGUUGGAUCCUUUCCGGGAUUCAGUGCCGCAGCUAACGCACUAAGCACUCCGCCUGGGGAGUACGACCGCAAGGUUGAAACUCAAAGGAAUUGACGGGGGCCCGCACAAGCGGUGGAGCAUGUGGUUUAAUUCGAAGCAACGCGAAGAACCUUACCAGGUCUUGACAUCGGAUGCAUACCUAAGAGAUUAGGGAAGUCCUUCGGGACAUCCAGACAGGUGGUGCAUGGUUGUCGUCAGCUCGUGUCGUGAGAUGUUGGGUUAAGUCCCGCAACGAGCGCAACCCCUAUUGUUAGUUGCCAUCAUUCAGUUGGGCACUCUAGCGAGACUGCCGGUAAUAAACCGGAGGAAGGUGGGGAUGACGUCAAAUCAUCAUGCCCCUUAUGACCUGGGCUACACACGUGCUACAAUGGUUGGUACAACGAGUUGCGAGUCGGUGACGGCGAGCUAAUCUCUUAAAGCCAAUCUCAGUUCGGAUUGUAGGCUGCAACUCGCCUACAUGAAGUCGGAAUCGCUAGUAAUCGCGGAUCAGCACGCCGCGGUGAAUACGUUCCCGGGCCUUGUACACACCGCCCGUCACACCACGAGAGUUUGUAACACCCGAAGUCGGUGAGGUAACCUUUUGGAGCCAGCCGCCUAAGGUGGGACAGAUGAUUGGGGUG
rnacentral:rRNA from 1 species